UACAGAGGUCCCAAGCGUUGUUCGGAUUCACUGGGCGUAGAGGGUGCGUAGUUGGCUGGGCAAGUUUGAUGUGAAAUCUCCGGGCUUAACCCGGAAAAUGCAUUGAAUACUGCUUAGCUGGAGGUUUGGAGGGGGGACUGGAAUUCUCGGUGUAGCAGUGAAAUGCGUAGAUAUCGAGAGGAACACCAGUGGCGAAGGCGGGUCCCUGGACAACACCUGACACUGAGGCGCGAAAGCUAGGGGAGCAAACAGG
rnacentral:rRNA from 1 species